AACGCUGGCGGCGUGCCUAAUACAUGCAAGUCGAGCGAACAGACGAGGAGCUUGCUCCUCUGCCGUUAGCGGCGGACGGGUGAGUAACACGUGGAUAACCUACCUAUAAGACUGGGAUAACUUCGGGAAACCGGAGCUAAUACCGGAUAAUAUAUUGAACCGCAUGGUUCAAUAGUGAAAGACGGUUUUGCUGUCACUUAUAGAUGGAUCCGCGCCGCAUUAGCUAGUUGGUAAGGUAACGGCUUACCAAGGCAACGAUGCGUAGCCGACCUGAGAGGGUGAUCGGCCACACUGGAACUGAGACACGGUCCAGACUCCUACGGGAGGCAGCAGUAGGGAAUCUUCCGCAAUGGGCGAAAGCCUGACGGAGCAACGCCGCGUGAGUGAUGAAGGUCUUCGGAUCGUAAAACCCUGUUAUUAGGGAAGAACAAAUGUGUAAGUAACUAUGCACGUCUUGACGGUACCUAAUCAGAAAGCCACGGCUAACUACGUG
rnacentral:rRNA from 1 species